UGACGUUGCAGAUAAAUAUUUAGAUAUAUUUAAAAUAAACUUUGCAAAAUAUACGUCAGAGCCAGAUGCGUAUAAUUUUGAUAAUAAUAACGAUAUCUCAAAUUCUAAAACUAUUUCAAUAUUGCAGGGAUUGAAAAAAAGGAGCAUCAAGUGUCACUAAUGAUAAUAAUCAAUUAUCGACAUACCUCAAUGAGCCACUCGCGUCCGAGAUCAUAAAUAUAUUAGAUUGGUGGAGAGGAAAUGCUGUUCGUUUUCCUCAUUUAGCAAUGAUGGCCAGGGACUAUCUAUGCCAACAGACAACCUCAGUGGCAUCGGAAAGAGCUUUUUCCUUGGCCGAAAAUAUUAUGACAAAACUGAGGAACAGGAUGGCCUCAUCGACGCUAAAGGAAUGUAUGUCACUCUCUUCCUGGGAUACAGAUAUAAUGUCUCUUCGUGAUGACAUAUGGCAUUAAUUUCUCAGCGGGGCUUUAUGUAUGUUCUCUCUACCGUGCAAGACUCACUCGUAAUAGGAAUAUGACAAUUUUAUAUAACGGAAUACGAAUUUUUAACAUAAUAUUUUAUAUGCGUUUGGAUUGGAGAAUAUAUAUAUUUUU